AACGCACGAGACCUGCGGACCUGCGGAGGGAUCAUUAUCGAGUUUACAACUCCCAAACCAUUGUGAAUCUUACCUUUUCGUUGCUUCGGCGGGAUCGCCCCGGGCGCUUCGGUGCCCCGGAUUCAGGCGCCCGCCGGGGGACCUAAACUCUUGUAUUAUAGUGGAUUUCUGAGUGGAUUACACAAAUAAUCAAAACUUUUAGCAACGGAUCUCU
rnacentral:misc_RNA from 1 species